rnacentral:misc_RNA from 1 species
AACGCACAUUGCGCCCCUCGGUAUUCCGUGGGGCAUGCCUGUUCGAGCGUCAUUUAACCCCUCAAGCCUAGCUUGGUAUUGGGUGCUUGUCCCGCCUCUCGCGCGGCGACUCACCUCAAAGUCAUUGGCAGCCCGCAUCUCGCCGGCCGUGAGCGCAGCACAGACGCGCUCUUGGCAACGUCGGAUCGGCUCCCCAAAAGCUUAUUUCAACCACUGACCUCGGAUCAGGUAGGGAUACCCGCUGAACUUAA